GAUCUGGCUCAGGACGAACGCUGGCGGCAUGCCUAACACAUGCAAGUCGAACGGAGAUUAUUUCGAUAAUCUUAGUGGCGAACGGGUGAGUAACGCGUGGGCAACCUGCCCUCUAGAUGGGGACAACAUCCCGAAAGGGGUGCUAAUACCGAAUGUGACAGCAAUCUCGCAUGAGGAUGCUGUGAAAGAUGGCCUCUAUUUAUAAGCUAUCGCUAGAGGAUGGG
rnacentral:rRNA from 1 species